rnacentral:rRNA from 1 species
GAGAGUUUGAGGACGAACGCUGGCGGCGUGCCUAAUACAUGCAAGUCGAGGGAGCUUGCUCCCUUAGGUCGGGUGAGUAACACGUGGGUACGGACCGACGACCUGCCUGUAAGACUGGGAUAAUCCGGGUAAUACCGGAUGCUUGAUUGAACCGUCCAAUCAUAAAAGGUGGCACUUAAAUGGACCCGCGGCGCAUUAGCUAGUUGGUGAGGUAACGGCUCACCAAGGCGACGUGCGUAGCCGACCUGAGAGGGUGAUCGGCCACACUGGGACUGAGACACGGCCCAGCGGCAGCAGUAGGGAAUCUUCCGCAAUGGACGAAAGUCUGACGGAGCAACGCCGCUGAGUUCGGAUCGUAAACUCUGUUGUUAGGGAAGAACAAGUACCGUUCGAAUAGGCGGUACCUGACGGUACCUACCAGAAAGCCACGGCUAACUACGUGCCAGCAGCCGCGAUACGUCGUUGUCCGGAAUUAUUGGGCGUAAGCGCGCGCAGGCGGUUUCUUAAGUUAUGUGAAAGCCCCCGGCUCAACCGGGAGGGUCAUUGGAAACUGGGGAACUUGAUGCAGAAGAGGAUCCACGUGUAGCGGUAAAUGCGUAGAGAUGUGGAGGAACACCGUGGCGAAGGCGACUCUACUGACGCUGAGGCGCGAAAGCGUGGGGAGCGAACAGAUUAGAUACCCUGUAGUCCACGCCGUAAACGAUGAGUGCUAGUGUUAGAGGGUUUCGCCCUAGUGCUCAUUAAGCACUCCGCCUGGGAGUACGGUCGCAAGACUAAACUCAAGGGCCGCACAGCGGUGGAGCAUGUGGUUUAAUUCGAAGCACCUACCAGGUCUGACAUCCUCUGACAACCCUAGAGAUAGGGUUCUUCGGGGGCAGAGUGACAGGUGUCGUCAGCUCGUGUCGUGAGAUGUUGGGUUAAGUCCCGCAACGAGCGCAACCCUUGAUCUUAGUUGCCAGGGCACUCUAAGGUGACUGCCGGUGACAAACCGGAGGAAGGUCAAAUCAUCAUGCCCCUUAUGACCUGGGCUACAAUGGGCAGAACAAAGGGCACGAAGCCGCGAGGCCCACAAAUCUUUCUCAGUUCGGAUCGCAGUCUGCAACUCGAUCGUGAAGCUGAAUCGCGGAUCAGCAUGCCGCGGUAAUACGUUCCCGGGCCUGUCACACCGCCCGUCACACCACGAGAGUUUGAG